rnacentral:rRNA from 2 species
CCACAGAAGAAUCCAGAGAUGGAUUUGUGCCUUCGGGAACUGUGAGACAGGUGCUGCAUGGCUGUCGUCAGCUCGUGUUGUGAAAUGUUGGGUUAAGUCCCGCAACGAGCGCAACCCUUAUCCUUUGUUGCCAGCGGUUAGGCCGGGAACUCAAAGGAGACUGCCAGUGAUAAACUGGAGGAAGGUGGGGAUGACGUCAAGUCAUCAUGGCCCUUACGACCAGGGCUACACACGUGCUACAAUGGCGCAUACAAAGAGAAGCGACCUCGCGAGAGCAAGCGGACCUCAUAAAGUGCGUCGUAGUCCGGAUUGGAGUCUGCAACUCGACUCCAUGAAGUCGGAAUCGCUAGUAAUCGUGGAUCAGAAUGCCACGGUGAAUACGUUCCCGGGCCUUGUACACACCGCCCGUCACACCAUGGGAGUGGGUUGCAAAAGAAGUAGGUAGCUUAACCUUCGGGAGGGCGCUUACCACUUUGUGAUUCAUGACUGGGGUGAAGUCGUAACAAGGUAACCGUAGGGGAACCUGCGGUUGGA